AUUGAACGCUGGCGGAAUGCUUUACACAUGCAAGUCGAACGGCAGCACGGACUUCGGUCUGGUGGCGAGUGGCGAACGGGUGAGUAAUGUAUCGGAACGUGCCCAGUCGUGGGGGAUAACGUAGUGAAAAUUACGCUAAUACCGCAUACGAUCUAUGGAUGAAAGCGGGGGAUCGCAAGACCUCGCGCGAUUGGAGCGGCCGAUCUCAGAUGAGGUAGUUUGUGGGGUAAAGGCCCACCAAGCCAACGAUCUGUAGCUGGUCUGAGAGGACGACCAGCCACACUGGAACUGAGACACGGUCCAGACUCCUACGGGAGGCAGCAGUGGGGAAUUUUGGACAAUGGGCGAAAGCCUGAUCCAGCCAUUCCGCGUGCAGGAUGAAGGCCCUCGGGUUGUAAACUGCUUUUGUACAGAACGAAAAGGUUUCAACUAAUACUAGGAGCUCAUGACGGUACUGUAAGAAUAAGCACCGGCUAACUACGUGCCAGCCGCCGCGGUAA
rnacentral:rRNA from 1 species